rnacentral:rRNA from 1 species
AUUGAACGCUGGCGGCAGGCCUAACACAUGCAAGUCGAGCGGCGCGUCGGACGGGUGAGUACUGCCUAGGAAUCUGCCUGGUAGUGGCGGAUCCCGCCCGGAAACGGGCGCUAAUACCGCAUACUUUCAGAUCACCUUCGGUCGUAUUUGCUAGUUGGUGCGGUAAAGGCCUACCAAGGCGAUGAUCCGUAACUGGACUGAGAGGAUGAUCAGUCACACUGGAACUGAGACACGGUCAAGACUCCGAAGGGAGGCAGCAGUGGGGAAGAUUGGACAAUGGGCGAAAGCCUGAUCCAGCCACGCCGCGUGUGUGAAGAAGGUUUUCGGAUUGUAAAGCACUUUAAGUUGGGAGGCGGUACCAACAGAGUAAGCACCGGCUAACUUCGUGCCAGCAGCUGCGGUAAUUC